AGGACGAACGCUGGCGGCGUGCUUAACACAUGCAAGUCGAGCGGAAAGGCCCUUCGGGGUACUCGAGCGGCGAACGGGCGAGUAACACGUGAGCAACCUGCCCUUAGCUCCGGGAUAGCUCCGGGAAACCGGAAUUAAUACCGGAUACGACCACGGCCGACAUCUGCUGUGGUGGAAAGGAUUCCGGCUAAGGAUGGGCUCGCGGCCUAUCAGCUAGUUGGUGGAGUAACGGCCCACCAAGGCGACGACGGGUA
rnacentral:rRNA from 1 species